rnacentral:lncRNA from 1 species
UCAUCCAAUAAUCAAACAUGAACUUCAAAUUAUAAAAAAAUUCCAAAAUCACAACCUUACACAUAGCAUGAAGAACAAAAGGAUUACGGAAAAGAAGGUACAGAAUUUGUCCAAACACUCGAUCAAGCAAGAAAAGGUCCGUCGACCGGACCUCGAGGGAGUAGCAAACGGUCCGGAAUCGCGAAUCAAAAUUCGACAACGGACCUCGAAUAGGGACCUGGUA